rnacentral:rRNA from 1 species
UUAAGCGACUAAGCGUACACGGUGGAUGCCCUGGCAGUCAGAGGCGAUGAAGGACGUGCUAAUCUGCGAUAAGCGUCGGUAAGGUGAUAUGAACCGUUAUAACCGGCGAUUUCCGAAUGGGGAAACCCAGUGUGUUUCGACACACUAUCAUUAACUGAAUCCAUAGGUUAAUGAGGCGAACCGGGGGAACUGAAACAUCUAAGUACCCCGAGGAAAAGAAAUCAACCGAGAUUCCCCCAGUAGCGGCGAGCGAACGGGGAGCAGCCCAGAGCCUGAAUCAGUGUGUGUGUUAGUGGAAGCGUCUGGAAAGGCGUGCGAUACAGGGUGACAGCCCCGUACACAAAAAUGCACAUAUUGUGAGCUCGAUGAGUAGGGCGGGACACGUGGUAUCCUGUCUGAAUAUGGGGGGACCAUCCUCCAAGGCUAAAUACUCCUGACUGACCGAUAGUGAACCAGUACCGUGAGGGAAAGGCGAAAAGAACCCCGGCGAGGGGAGUGAAAAAGAACCUGAAACCGUGUACGUACAAGCAGUGGGAGCACGCUUAGGCGUGUGACUGCGUACCUUUUGUAUAAUGGGUCAGCGACUUAUAUUCUGUAGCAAGGUUAACCGAAUAGGGGAGCCGAAGGGAAACCGAGUCUUAACUGGGCGUUAAGUUGCAGGGUAUAGACCCGAAACCCGGUGAUCUAGCCAUGGGCAGGUUGAAGGUUGGGUAACACUAACUGGAGGACCGAACCGACUAAUGUUGAAAAAUUAGCGGAUGACUUGUGGCUGGGGGUGAAAGGCCAAUCAAACCGGGAGAUAGCUGGUUCUCCCCGAAAGCUAUUUAGGUAGCGCCUCGUGAAUUCAUCUCCGGGGGUAGAGCACUGUUUCGGCAAGGGGGUCAUCCCGACUUACCAACCCGAUGCAAACUGCGAAUACCGGAGAAUGUUAUCACGGGAGACACACGGCGGGUGCUAACGUCCGUCGUGAAGAGGGAAACAACCCAGACCGCCAGCUAAGGUCCCAAAGUCAUGGUUAAGUGGGAAACGAUGUGGGAAGGCCCAGACAGCCAGGAUGUUGGCUUAGAAGCAGCCAUCAUUUAAAGAAAGCGUAAUAGCUCACUGGUCGAGUCGGCCUGCGCGGAAGAUGUAACGGGGCUAAACCAUGCACCGAAGCUGCGGCAGCGACGCUUAUGCGUUGUUGGGUAGGGGAGCGUUCUGUAAGCCUGUGAAGGUGUGCUGUGAGGCAUGCUGGAGGUAUCAGAAGUGCGAAUGCUGACAUAAGUAACGAUAAAGCGGGUGAAAAGCCCGCUCGCCGGAAGACCAAGGGUUCCUGUCCAACGUUAAUCGGGGCAGGGUGAGUCGACCCCUAAGGCGAGGCCGAAAGGCGUAGUCGAUGGGAAACAGGUUAAUAUUCCUGUACUUGGUGUUACUGCGAAGGGGGGACGGAGAAGGCUAUGUUGGCCGGGCGACGGUUGUCCCGGUUUAAGCGUGUAGGCUGGUUUUCCAGGCAAAUCCGGAAAAUCAAGGCUGAGGCGUGAUGACGAGGCACUACGGUGCUGAAGCAACAAAUGCCCUGCUUCCAGGAAAAGCCUCUAAGCAUCAGGUAACAUCAAAUCGUACCCCAAACCGACACAGGUGGUCAGGUAGAGAAUACCAAGGCGCUUGAGAGAACUCGGGUGAAGGAACUAGGCAAAAUGGUGCCGUAACUUCGGGAGAAGGCACGCUGAUAUGUAGGUGAAGUCCCUUGCGGAUGGAGCUGAAAUCAGUCGAAGAUACCAGCUGGCUGCAACUGUUUAUUAAAAACACAGCACUGUGCAAACACGAAAGUGGACGUAUACGGUGUGACGCCUGCCCGGUGCCGGAAGGUUAAUUGAUGGGGUCAGCGCAAGCGAAGCUCUUGAUCGAAGCCCCGGUAAACGGCGGCCGUAACUAUAACGGUCCUAAGGUAGCGAAAUUCCUUGUCGGGUAAGUUCCGACCUGCACGAAUGGCGUAAUGAUGGCCAGGCUGUCUCCACCCGAGACUCAGUGAAAUUGAACUCGCUGUGAAGAUGCAGUGUACCCGCGGCAAGACGGAAAGACCCCGUGAACCUUUACUAUAGCUUGACACUGAACAUUGAGCCUUGAUGUGUAGGAUAGGUGGGAGGCUUUGAAGUGUGGACGCCAGUCUGCAUGGAGCCGACCUUGAAAUACCACCCUUUAAUGUUUGAUGUUCUAACGUGGACCCGUGAUCCGGGUUGCGGACAGUGUCUGGUGGGUAGUUUGACUGGGGCGGUCUCCUCCUAAAGAGUAACGGAGGAGCACGAAGGUUGGCUAAUCCUGGUCGGACAUCAGGAGGUUAGUGCAAUGGCAUAAGCCAGCUUGACUGCGAGCGUGACGGCGCGAGCAGGUGCGAAAGCAGGUCAUAGUGAUCCGGUGGUUCUGAAUGGAAGGGCCAUCGCUCAACGGAUAAAAGGUACUCCGGGGAUAACAGGCUGAUACCGCCCAAGAGUUCAUAUCGACGGCGGUGUUUGGCACCUCGAUGUCGGCUCAUCACAUCCUGGGGCUGAAGUAGGUCCCAAGGGUAUGGCUGUUCGCCAUUUAAAGUGGUACGCGAGCUGGGUUUAGAACGUCGUGAGACAGUUCGGUCCCUAUCUGCCGUGGGCGCUGGAGAACUGAGGGGGGCUGCUCCUAGUACGAGAGGACCGGAGUGGACGCAUCACUGGUGUUCGGGUUGUCAUGCCAAUGGCACUGCCCGGUAGCUAAAUGCGGAAGAGAUAAGUGCUGAAAGCAUCUAAGCACGAAACUUGCCCCGAGAUGAGUUCUCCCUGACUCCUUGAGAGUCCUGAAGGAACGUUGAAGACGACGACGUUGAUAGGCCGGGUGUGUAAGCGCAGCGAUGCGUUGAGCUAACCGGUACUAAUGAACCGUGAGGCUUAACCUU